ACAAGAGGGAUGACAGCCGUAAGAAGAGAACUUACGACGACAGAAGCUCAGGACUUGAUGUGCAGUGGAAUCUCCAGGAGCGGCGUGUUCGAGCCGUCGUUCCGCCCCGUGUCGCACGGGCCAGUCAACCUCUGCCGACGAAUUCCGAGCGGGUGGCAUGCGCUGAGAAAUCAUGCGGCGGUUCCAAAAGUCGCAUGUUCUUGUCUCCAAGCUCCACUUGUGUUCGACCGAAGGAAGAUCCCGAGGACGCAAUGAAGAACUUUCUGGAUAUCUUUAGAGGGAUCUUCUGAGUUGGUCAAUUGAUUUUGAAACGUCUGAUCGCGGUGUUCUAGUAAAAUUGCGUCACUUAUAUUCUUUACGGAUGAUCACAACAGUAAUUUCCGUGCCUGCAACACAACUUGUAUAUCUUCUUGGUUCUUUCGGUGAAGUCACGUAGAA